GGAAACGGACAGAGCUGGCGUAUCUGGUCUGCAUUCAUCCGUGUGUUCUUGGGCGUUUGGAUUGCCACUCUCCAGACUGGGAUGGUGUUCAUUCUGUUCAGGGGCUCAUGGAGCAUUUGCRGGCGGAGUGCGCUGAGAUGCUCGGAGCAGCUGCAUGAGCUUGGCUUUGAGGCCAGCCCUUCGGGGUCUGGUACCCGGGCUGUGGGAGUGCUGUUUGUUCUGGGUGCUGAGUGUGUGCAAUGGCAACGGGUCCGUGUUGGUUUGAGCUGGCGGUCGGUGGCGGUCGCGUGCGACACGUGCCAGCAGUCAGUUCGGUCCUGCUCGGGCUCUCAUUGCAUGUUCUCGGUGUAAAAGCCGGUCAUCUGUCCGACCCGUCUUGAAACACGGACCAAGGAGUUUAGCGUGUGCGCGAGUCAUUGGGAGUUGAAAACCCAAGGGCGUAAUGAAAGUGAAGGUCUCCUUGCGGAGCUGAUGUGUGAUCUCGUGCACCCCGGUGUGCGGGCGCAACAUAGUCCCGUCCCGAUCGCAUGCGAUGGGGCGGAGACAGAGCGUACGCGCUGAGACCCGAAAGAUGGUGAACUAUUCCUGAGCAGGAUGAAGCC
rnacentral:rRNA from 1 species